rnacentral:rRNA from 1 species
GACGAACGCUGGCGGCGUGCCUAAUACAUGCAAGUCGAGCGGGCCUCCGGAGGUGCUUGCACCUCCGGACGGCCAGCGGCGGACGGGUGAGUAACACGUGGGCAACCUGCCUUUGAGGCCGGGAUAACACCGGGAAACCGGUGCUAAUACCGGAUACGUCCUCUUUCGCGCCUGCGAGAGGGGAGAAAGACGGUCUUUAAGGCCGUCGCUCAAAGAGGGGCCCGCGGCGCAUUAGCUGGUUGGUGGGGCAAGGGCCUCCCAAGGCGACGAUGCGUGGCCGAGCUGAGAGGGUGAUGGGCCACACUGGGACUGAGACACGGCCCAGACUCCUGCGGGAGGCAGCAGUAGGGAAUCCUCCGCAAUGGGCGAAAGCCUGACGGUGCAACGCCGCGUGAGUGAGGAAGGUUUUCGGAUCGUAAAGCUCUGUUGUGAGGGAAGAACAGCAUCCGGAGGAAAUGCCGGAGGUUUGCCAGUACCUCACCAGAAAGCCCCGGCUAACUACGUGCCAGCCGCCGCAGUAAAAC